AGAUUAAUACAUUCAGUGAGUUACAGGUGCUACAGCAAAAAGUGUCUCCUACUCACUUAUUUGAAAUCAUUUGGCUGCAAUCCCUCCUCUCAGGAACCUUGGGGCCCAUCUCUGGCCGGUUCCCGCAGGCACCCCCUCCCCAAAUGCCUCCGCCGCCGGGAAUCGGGCGCGCAACAGCGCCAUCUCGUGUCCGGCCGGGCCGCUGCACCCCCGCUGAGCGCACAGACGAGGCUUGGCGCGCUGGGCUCUGCAGGCUGCCGCUGCUGCUUUCUCAGCCUGAGCAGAGCUUCUUCUCCCGCAGACAGCCGGGGCGGACAGCCGUGCCCCCCCCUCCGCUCUUCAAGAACAUCUUUUUAGGGAGAGACUAAACCGGCCCCCCACCCACCCCCCAACACACACCUCCGACGCUGUGAUUUCUCUUAAAGGCUGCGUCGGUCUGCUUGUGUGAAUGAGGAGCUGCGGUAAAAUAAGAGAGAGAGAGAGAGAGAGAGAGACAGAACCUCCCUCCUUCGGCAGCUAUACCAGAUAUCAGUUCUGCGAACAGCCCGGCCUGCCAUGUUCCCUCUUUCGGAGCUCUCUACAAAAGAUGUUCUCACUUCGCCCGCUUCUCUUCAGAUAUGAAGUGAAGAUUGUGUGCUGGAACCAGGGAUUGCACUCUGAGGAAGAAGCUGUAAUCCUAAUGUAAACUACACAACCUGCAGCCUGAAAAUCCUCAUCAGUAAUCUCUUUGCUCUAGUCAUCAUAAUGAUUCUUUGUUGGUAGCCUCCCGCUACCUGUUUGGCAUUUGCCCCUUUUAACAAAGGAUUUCAAGUGCUGAUAACCCUCAAGAGACACACUUUACUACUAUUACCUGCCAUGGAUCUCCUGUGUCCGGGUGAAGGCGUGAGCCGGACACAGGCCUUUGUCGGCAAACUGUAGCCAUCUGGAUUCACUUCAACUAAAUUCCUGCGAUUUUAUUCUGGAGUUAUUCUUUAUUUGGACCCGGGAUGGAUGUACCGGAAGCCAGCAAGCAUGGCAAGAAGUCAACAAGUCAAAAGCUGGAGGAUCAGAAAAAGGUAGGAAAAACUUUGUUGUGUUUUUUCCUUUCUGCUUCAAAUUGCUCUUCUUUCAUCUCCUUGUUGUGUGUGCGUGCUGCUUUUUCAAGAUGUUUUCCA
rnacentral:lncRNA from 1 species